rnacentral:ncRNA from 1 species
UGUCUUCAGGGCGGGGUGAAAGUCCCCACCGGCGGUACAGUCCGCGAGCGACUUGCUCCUUUUGAGAAGCAGGAAGCCGACCCGGUGCGAUUCCGGGACCGACAGUGAUAGUCUGGAUGGGAGAAGACG